GAUGAACGCUGGCGGCGUGCCUAAUACAUGCAAGUCGAGCGAACGGACGAGAGGCUUGCUUCUCUGAUGUUUGCGGCGGACGGGAGAGUAACAUGUGGAUAACCUACCUAUAAGACUGGGAUAACUUCGGGAAACCGGCGCUAAUACCGGAAAAUAUUUUGAACCGCAUGGUUCAAUAGUGAAAGACGAUCUUGCUGUCACUUAUAGAUGGAUCGGCGCAGUGUUAGUUAGUUGGGAAGGUAACGGCUUACCAAGACAACGAUGAAUAGCCGACCUGAGAGGGGGAUCGGCCACACUGGAAUUGAGACACGGUCCAGACUCCUACGGAGGGCAGCAGUAGGAAAUCUUCAGCAAUGGGCGAAAGCCUGACGGAGCAACGCCGCGUGAGUGAUGAAGGUCUUCGAUUCUUAAAACUCUGUUAUUGGGGAAGAACAGAUGUGUAAGUAACUGUGCACAUCGUGACGGUACCUAAUCAGAAAGCCACGGCUAACUACGUG
rnacentral:rRNA from 1 species